rnacentral:rRNA from 1 species
CCUACGGGAGACAGCAGUGAGGAAUAUUGGUCAAUGGGCGGGAGCCUGAACCAGCCAAGUCGCGUGAGGGAAGACGGUCCUAUGGAUUGUAAACCUCUUUAGGCGGGGAGCAAUGCCGGGCACGUGUGCCGGGCGGGAGAGUACCCGCAGAAUAAGCAUCGGCUAACUCCGUGCCAGCAGCCGCGGUAAUACGGAGGAUGCGAGCGUUAUCCGGAUUUAUUGGGUUUAAAGGGUGCGUAGGCGGAUUUUUAAGUCAGCGGUAAAAUGUCCGGGCUCAACCCGGGCCGGCCGUUGAAACUGGGGAUCUUGAGUGGGCGAGAAGUAGGCGGAAUGCGUGGUGUAGCGGUGAAAUGCAUAGAUAUCACGCAGAACUCCGAUUGCGAAGGCAGCAUACCGGCGCCCGACUGACGCUGAGGCACGAAAGCGUGGGGAUCGAACAGGAUUAGAUACCCUAGUAGUC